rnacentral:misc_RNA from 1 species
AACGCACGAGACCUGCGGACCUGCGGAGGGAUCAUUAGUGAACGCCCUCACGGGCUUAUAACUAUUCCAAACCUCUGCGAACCGUGCCCUUCGGGGCUAUUUUACAAACAUGGUGUAAUGAACGUCAUAUAUCAUAACAAAACAAAACUUUUAACAACGGAUCUCU